rnacentral:rRNA from 1 species
UACGUAGGGUGCAAGCGUUAAUCGGAAUUACUGGGCGUAAAGCGUGCGCAGGCGGUUUUGUAAGUUUGUCGUGAAAGCCCCGGGCUCAACCUGGGAAUUGCGAUGAAGACUGCAAGGCUUGAAUCUGGCAGAGGGGGGUAGAAUUCCACGUGUAGCAGUGAAAUGCGUAGAGAUGCGGAGGAACACCGAUGGCGAAGGCAGCCCCCUGGGUCAAGAUUGACGCUCAUGCACGAAAGCGUGGGGAGCAAACAGG